CCGGCACGGGUGAGUAACACGUAUCCAACCUGCCGUCUACUCUUGGACAGCCUUCUGAAAGGAAGAUUAAUACAAGAUGGCAUCAUGAGUCCGCAUGUUCACAUGAUUAAAGGUAUUCCGGUAGACGAUGGGGAUGCGUUCCAUUAGAUAGUAGGCGGGGUAACGGCCCACCUAGUCUUCGAUGGAUAGGGGUUCUGAGAGGAAGGUCCCCCACAUUGAACUGAGACACGGUCCAA
rnacentral:rRNA from 1 species